rnacentral:rRNA from 1 species
AGAGCGAACGCUGGCGGCAGGCUUAACACAUGCAAGUCGAGCGGGCGUAGCAAUACGUCAGCGGCAGACGGGUGAGUAACGCGUGGGAACGUACCUUUUGGUUCGGAACAACCCAGGGAAACUUGGGCUAAUACCGGAUAAGCCCUUACGGGGAAAGAUUUAUCGCCGAAAGAUCGGCCCGCGUCUGAUUAGCUAGUUGGUGGGGUAAUGGCCCACCAAGGCGACGAUCAGUAGCUGGUCUGAGAGGAUGAUCAGCCACAUUGGGACUGAGACACGGCCCAAACUCCUACGGGAGGCAGCAGUGGGGAAUAUUGGACAAUGGGCGCAAGCCUGAUCCAGCCAUGCCGCGUGAGUGAUGAAGGCCCUAGGGUUGUAAAGCUCUUUUGUGCGGGAAGAUAAUGACGGUACCGCAAGAAUAAGCCCCGGCUAACUUCGCGCCAGCAGCCGC